UGUCAAUUUCUUAGGUAUAGUUUCAAAUUUCUUAGGUAUAGUCUCAAAUUUCUUAGGUAUAGUGUCAAAUUUCUUAGGUAUAGUGUCAAAUUUCUUAGGUAUAGUGUCAAAUUUCUUAGGUAUAGUCUCAAAUUUCUUAGGUAUAGUGUCAAAUUUCUUAGGUAUAGUCUCAAAUUUCUUAGGUAUAGUGUCAAAUUUCUUAGGUAUAGUCUCAAAUUUCUUAGGUAUAGUCUCAAAUUUCUUAGGUAUAGUCUCAAAUUUCUUAGGUAUAGUCUCAAAUUUCUUAGGUAUAGUCUCAAAUUUCUUAGGUAUAGUCUCAAAUUUCUUAGGUAUAGUGUCAAAUUUCUUAGGUAUAGUCUCAAAUUUCUUAGGUAUAGUCUCAAAUUUCUUAGGUAUAGUCUCAAAUUUCUUAGGUAUAGUCUCAAAUUUCUUAGGUAUAGUCUCAAAUUUCUUAGGUAUAGUGUCAAAUUUCUUAGGUAUAGUCUCAAAUUUCUUAGGUAUAGUCUCAAAUUUCUUAGGUAUAGUUUCAAAUUGCUUAAUUGCUAUAGAAACUCCAAACUAUAAUUAAUCCUUGUAGUCUUUGGGUAUGGAGCUCGUAUGCAAACCAUUUCAAACUGGAACUGGCCCUAAGAACAGAGAUAGCAUAAAGGAGGGGAAGAAGUGGAGAUGCAGUUUGUAUAUGAGGAGGGAAAAAAAAUGAAGGCGGGGGAUAACAGAAGAGUAAGAGAUAACAGGACAAAAAAAAAAUAGUAAAGAAUGAAGGGAUUAAGAGGAAAAAGUGUAGUGAAUAAUGUAAGAUGACUGAGAAACUGAUGAUGAAAUUAUAGACAAAUUAUUAAUACGGGGAAUUAAGUCAACAG